GACGAACGCUGGCGGCGGGCUUAACACAUGCAAGUCGAACGGAAAGGCCCUGCUUUUGUGUGGUUCCCGAGUGGCGAACGGGUGUGUAACACGUGAGUAACCUGCCCUGUACUGUGGGAUAACUUGAGGAAACUGGUGCUAAUACCGGAUACGAGCUGCUGCUGCAUGGUGGGGUUCGAAAGUCUCGGCUGUUGGGGAUGGACGGUCGGCUUAUCAGCUUGGUGGGGGGGUAGUGGAUUACCAAGGCUAUGACGGGUUGCUGACCUGAGAUGGUGACCGGCGACCUGACGCCUGCGGUAGGGCGCAGUCUGCUACGGGGGGCAGCAGUGGGAAGUCUUGCACAGUGAGCGCGCGCCUGUUACGGAGGCCUUGCGUGCGGAAUGACGGCCUUCGGGUUGUAAACCGCUUUAGCCUGUGACGAAGCGUGAGUGACGGUAAUGGGUGAAGAAGCACCGGCUAACUACGUG
rnacentral:rRNA from 1 species